UAGCGAAAUUCCUUGUCGGGUAAGUUCCGACCCGCACGAAAGGCGUAAUGAUUUGAGCACUGUCUCGACAAUGCAUCCGGUGAAAUUGAAGUACCAGUGAAGAUGCUGGUUACCCGCGCCAGGACGGAAAGACCCCAUGGAGCUUUACUCCAGUUUGAUACUGGGAUUCGGUACUGCAUGUACAGGAUAGGUGGGAGACGAAGAAGGAUGGACGCCAGUCUGUCCGGAGUCGCUGUUGGGAUACCACCCCUGUAGUACUGGGUUUCUAACCAGUUGCCAUGAACUGGCAAUGGGACAAUGUCAGGCGGGGAGUUUGACUGGGGCGGUCGCCUCCGAAAGGGUAUCGGAGGCGCUCAAAGGUUCCCUCAGAAUGGUUGGAAACCAUUUGAAGAGUGCAAAGGCAGAAGGGAGCUUGACUGCGACACCGACGGGUGGAGCAGGUACGAAAGUAGGACUUAGUGAUCCGGUGGUAUAAAGUGGGAUUGCCAUCGCUCAACGGAUAAAAGCUACCCUGGGGAUAACAGGCUUAUCACUCCCAAGAGUUCACAUCGACGGAGUGGUUUGGCACCUCGAUGUCGGCUCAUCGCAUCCUGGGGCUGUAGUAGGUCCCAAGGGUUGGGCUGUUCGCCCAUUAAAGCGGUACGCGAGCUGGGUUCAGAACGUCGUGAGACAGUUCGGUCCCUAUCCGGCGUGGGCGUAGGAUAUUUGAGAGGAGCUGUCCUUAGUACGAGAGGACCGGGAUGGACUGACCUCUGGUGUACCGGUUGAACCGCCAGGUUCACGGCCGGGUAGCCAAGUCGGGAAGGGAUAAACGCUGAAGGCAUCUAAGCGUGAAGCCCCCCUCAAGAUGAGAUAUCCCUCCUUCGGGAGUAAGACCCCUUGAAGACUACAAGGUAGAUAGGGCAGAGGUGGAAGCAUGGCAACAUGUGGAGCUGACUGUUACUAAUAGGUCGAGGGCUUAAUCUG
rnacentral:rRNA from 1 species